rnacentral:rRNA from 1 species
GACGGUACUGCCCGUCCUGACCUCACCUCCCAGCUUCUGCUCCUAGUGCUCUUCGCUGAGUGCUUCGAGUGGCUGGAACGUUUACUUUGAAAAAAUUAGAGUGCUCAAAGCAGGCGAUCUGCCUGAAUAACCGCGCAUGGAAUAAUGGAAUAGGACCUCGGUUCUAUUUUGUCGGUUUUCGGAACUUGAGGUAAUGAUUAAGAGGGACAGACGGGGGCAUUCGUAUUACGGUGUUAGAGGUGAAAUUCUUGGAUCGCCGUAAGACGAACUACUGCGAAAGCAUUUGCCAAGAAUGUUUUCAUUAAUCAAGAACGAAAGUCAGAGGUUCGAAGACGAUCAGAUACCGUCGUAGUUCUGACCAUAAACGAUGUCGACUAGCGAUCCGCGAUCGUUGUUCAUAUGACCUCGCGGGCAGCCUUCGGGAAACCAAAGUUUUUGGAUUCCGGGGGAAGUAUAGUUGCAAAGCCGAAAUUUAAAGGAAUUGACGGAAGGGCACCACCAGGAGUGGAGCCUGCGGCUUAAUUUGACUCAACACGGGACAGCUUACCAGGUCCAGACAUGAUAAGGAUUGACAAGUUAGAGACUUCUCUUGAUCUCAUGGGUGGUGGUGCAUGGCCGUUUUUAGUCCUUGGAGUGAUUUGUCUGCUUAAUUGCGAUAACGGACGAGACCUUAACCUGCUAAAUAGGUGGACUAACGUUAUGUUGGUUUUCACCUUCUUAGAGGGACUAUUGG